UGCGAGUCAUGCGUCUCUAGCUAUGUUGAGACGCGGCAGACGGCUCAGUAACGCGUGGCUAACCUACCCUCAGGACGAAGAUAACCCCGGGAAACUGGGGAUAAUAUUCGAUAGGUGAGGAUGUCUGGAAUGACUUCUCUCCUAAAGGACUUAGAUACAUGCUUCUAUUUCGCCUGGGGAUGGGGCCGCGCCCGAUCAGGUUGUUGGUGAGGUAACGGCUCACCAAGCCUAUAACCGGUACGGGCCGUGAGAGCGGUAGCCCGGAGAUGGGUACUGAGACAAGGACCCAGGCCCUACGGGGCGCAGCAGUCGCGAAAACUCCGCAAUGCACGAAAGUGUGACGGGGCUACCCCGAGUGCCAUCCGCUGAGGAUGGCUUUUCUUUGGUAUAACUAGCCAUGGGAAUAAGGAGAGGGCAAGACUGGUGUCAGCCGCCGCGGUAAUACCAGCUCUCCGAGUGGUAGGGAUGAUUAUUGGGCUUAAAGCGUCCGUAGCCGGCUUAGCAAGUUUCCUGUUAAACCCAGCGACUCAAUCGUUGGAUCGCGGGAAAUACUACUAGGCUAGGAGGCGGGAGAGGUCAACGGUACUUCUGGGGUAGGGGUGAAAUCCUAUAAUCCCGGGAGGACCACCAGUGGCGAAGGCUGUUGACUAGAACGCGCUCGACGGUGAGGGACGAAAGCUGGGGGAGCGAACCGGAUUAGAUACCCGGGUAGUCCCAGCUGUAAACGAUGCGAGCUAGGUGUUGGAAUGGCUACGGGCCAUUUCAGUGCCGCAGGGAAGCCAUUAAGCUCGCCGCCUGGGGAGUACGGCCGCAAGGCUGAAACUUAA
rnacentral:rRNA from 1 species